rnacentral:rRNA from 1 species
UGGCGGACGGGUGAGUAACGCGUGGAAAACCUGCCGUAUACUGGGGGAUAACACUUAGAAAUAGGUGCUAAUACCGCAUAAGCGCACAGCUUCGCAUGAAGCGGUGUGAAAAACUCUGGUGGUAUACGAUGGUUCCGCGUCUGAUUAGCUAGUUGGUGGGGUAAUGGCCUACCAAGGCAACGAUCAGUAGCCGGCCUGAGAGGGUGAACGGCCACAUUGGGACUGAGACACGGCCCAAACUUCUACGGGAGGCAGCAG